rnacentral:lncRNA from 1 species
AUGACGCCACCGGCGACGAGCGGCGGCGGGACAGCAGUUCGCCGGUCUUCGCUCAUAAACGAGCUCCCGGUAGAGGUUUUGCACGCAGACUCGAGCAGGAGAGUGCGGGGGUUGCAGCGAACUCGACUAGAAGGUCGACGGGCGAGUUCCCGCGGUGAAGGACACGGUAUGAGCCGAGCGACGGCCGGUGGCUCCGGUGAAGUCGUAUGCGCCAGGGGAAGCCGCGGAUUCGAACGAGGACAAGGCUGACGGGCUUCCCACCUCCUCGCUGAGUUCCGGGCGAAGCUUUAGGCGGCGGAAGACGGCGAAGGCGGAGAUCGACGCGACACGGCGGCGCAAAGAAACGGGCGGUGGCGCGCUGUAGAUGCGGAGCAGGAGUCCUUGCGGUUGGGGAAAAAAGGAAGUGGCGGCGGCUUAUAUGCGAGCCCGGGCGUGUGGGUCCAGAGGCUAGGCGGACGUGGCGCAAAACAACUCGGAUUCGAGUCCGAGCGGAGGAGCGGCGCUGGAGAAACGCGUGC